rnacentral:misc_RNA from 1 species
UCCUGGUUAACCCAGGCAGUCUCGUUAGAGUUCCCACCUUCACGUGUUGGCAACUAACGAUAAGGGUUGCGCUCGUUGCGGGACUUAACCCAACACCUCACGGCACGAGCUGACGACAGCCAUGCAGCACCUGUGCAGCGGCCCCGAAGGGAAUUGACAUUUCUGCCAACGUCCACUGCAUGUCAAGUCUGGGUAAGGUUCUUCGCGUUGCAUCGAAUUAAACCACAUGCUCCACUGCUUGUGCGGGUCCCCGUCAAUUCUUUUGAGUUUCACCCUUGCGAGUGUACUCCCCAGGCGGUAUACUUAUCGCGUUAGCUUCGGCACAACCAGGGUUGAUUCCGGUUACACCAAGUAUACAUCGUUUACGGCAAGGACUAC